rnacentral:rRNA from 1 species
GACACUGAGGCUCGAAAGCGUGGGUAGCAAACAGGAUUAGAUACCCUGGUAGUCCACGCCGUAAACGAUGUCUACUAGUCGUUGGGUCCCUUGAGGACUUAGUGACGCAGCUAACGCAAUAAGUAGACCGCCUGGGGAGUACGGCCGCAAGGUUAAAACUCAAAUGAAUUGACGGGGGCCCGCACAAGCGGUGGAGCAUGUGGUUUAAUUCGAUGCAACGCGAAGAACCUUACCUGGUCUUGACAUACACAGAAUCUUGUAGAGAUACGAGAGUGCCUUCGGGAAUUGUGAUACAGGUGCUGCAUGGCUGUCGUCAGCUCGUGUCGUGAGAUGUUGGGUUAAGUCCCGCAACGAGCGCAACCCUUGUCCUUAGUUACCAGCGGGUUAAGCCGGGAACUCUAAGGAUACUGCCAGUGACAAACUGGAGGAAGGCGGGGACGACGUCAAGUCAUCAUGGCCCUUACGACCAGGGCUACACACGUGCUACAAUGGUAGGUACAGAGGGCAGCUACACAGCGAUGUGAUGCGAAUCUCAAAAAGCCUAUCGUAGUCCAGAUUGGAGUCUGCAACUCGACUCCAUGAAGUAGGAAUCGCUAGUAAUCGCGGAUCAGAAUGCCGCGGUGAAUACGUUCCCGGGCCUUGUACACACCGCCCGUCACACCAUGGGAGUUGAUUGCACCAGAAGUGGUUAGCU